UACGUAGGUGGCAAGCGUUAUCCGGAAUUACUGGGCGUAAAGCGCACGCAGGUGGUUUGCUAAGUUUGACGUGAAAGCGCCUGGCUUAACUGGGCGAGGUCGUUGGAGACUGGCAGACUAGAGGUGAGGAGAGGGGUGUAGAAUUCCCGGUGUAGUGGUGGAAUGCGUAGAUAUCGGGAGGAAUACCAGUGGCGAAAGCGGCACCCUGGCCUUGGCCUGACGCUCAUGUGCGAAAGCGUGGGUAGCAAACGGG
rnacentral:rRNA from 1 species